CCUACAGGAGGCUGCAGUGGGGAAUAUUGCACAAUGGGGGAAACCCUGAUGCAGCAACGCCGCGUGAGUGAAGAAGUAUUUCGGUAUGUAAAGCUCUAUCAGCAGGGAAGAAGAAAGACGGUACCUGACUAAGAAGCCCCGGCUAAAUACGUGCCAGCAGCCGCGGUCAUACGUAGGGGGCAAGCGUUAUCCGGCUUUACUGGGUGUAAAGGGAGCGUAGACGGCUUUGCAAGUCUGACGUGAAAGCCCGUGGCUCAACCGCGUAACUGCUUUGGAAACUGUAUAGCCUGAGUACUGGCGAGGUAGGCGGAAUGCCUAGUGUAGCGGUGAAAUGCGUAGAUAUUAGGAGGAACACCAGUGGCGAAGGCGGCCUGCUGGACAGAAACGGACGUUGAGGCUCGAAAGCGUGGGGAGCAAACAGGAUUAGAUACCCUGGUAGUC
rnacentral:rRNA from 1 species